GACGAACGCUGGCGGCGUGCUUAACACAUGCAAGUCGAACGGAAAGGCCCUGCUUUUGUGGGGUGCUCGAGUGGCGACCGGGUGAGUAACACGUGAGUAACCUGCCCUUGACUUUGGGAUAUCUUCAGGAAACAGGGGCUCAUACCGGAUAGGAGCUCUUGCUGCAUGGUGGGGGUUGGAUAGAUUCGGUGGUUGGGGAUGGACUCGCGGCUUAUCAGCUUGUUGGUGGGGUAGUGGCUUACCAAGGCUUUGACGGGUAGCCGGCCUGGGAGGGUUGCCGGCCACAUUGGGACUGAGAUACGGCCCAGACUCCAAUGGGACGCAGGGGUGGGGAAUAUAGCACAAUGGGAGGAAGCCUGAUGCAACAACGCCGCGUGCGGGAUGACGGCCUUCGGGUUGUGAACCGCUUUCGCCUGUGACGAAGCGUGAGUGACGGUAAUGGGUAAAGAAGCACCGGCUAACUACGUG
rnacentral:rRNA from 1 species